GAUAAACGCUGGCGGCGUGCCUAAUGCAUGCAAGUCGAACGGGAGCCCCUUCGGGGGUCGACCGUGGCGGACGGGUGAGGAACGCGUGGCCAACCUACCCUGAUCACGGGGAUACCCACUGGAAACGGUGGCGAAUACCGGAUGAGCUCGUGUCUGGGGACGGACACGAGGAAAGCAUUAUGGAGCGGAUCAGGAGGGGGCUGCGUCCGAUUAGCUAGUUGGUGAGGUAACGGCUUACCAAGGCAACGAUCGGUAGCUGGUCUGAGAGGAUGAUCAGCCACACGGGGACUGAGACACGGCCCCGACUCCUACGGGAGGCAGCAGCAGGGAAUUUUCCACAAUGGGCGCAAGCCUGAUGGAGCAACGCCGCGUGCGGGAGGACGCGUUUCGACGUGUAAACCGCUGUUCCGAGGGACGAAUCAGAUGACGGUACCUCGGGAGGAAGGCCCGGCUAACUACGUGCCAGCAGCCGCGGUAAGACGUAGGGGCCAAGCGUUGUCCGGAGUAACUGGGCGUAAAGGGCGCGCAGGCGGUGCGUCACGUCGGGUGUGAAAGCCCCCCGCUCAACGGGGGAGGGUCAUCCGAAACGGACGGACUGGAGGCAGGGAGAGGUCGGUGGAAUUCCCGGAGUAGUGGUGAAAUGCGUAGAUCUCGGGAGGAACACCAGAGGCGAAGGCGGCCGACUGGACCUGACCUGACGCUGAGGCGCGAAGGCGUGGGGAGCGAACGGGAUUAGAUACCCCGGUAGUCCACGCAGUAAACGAUGUGCACUAGGCGGAGGAUGUAUUGACCCAUUCUGUGCCGUAGCUAACGCGGUAAGUGCACCGCCUGGGGAGUACGGUCGCAAGACUAAAACUCAAAGGAAUUGACGGGGCCCCGCACAAGCAGCGGAGCGUGUGGUUUAAUUCGAUGCAACGCGAAGAACCUUACCAGGACUUGACAGCUUCGGAAGACCGGGGAAACCUGGUUGUGCUCGCAAGAGAACCGAAAGACAGGUGUUGCAUGGCUGUCGUCAGCUCGUGUCGUGAGAUGUUGGGUUAAGUCCCGCAACGAGCGCAACCCCUGUGGCUAGUUACCAAGGAAUGUCUAGCCAGACUGCCGUCGGACGGAGGAAGGCGGGGAUGAGGUCAAGUCAGCAUGACCCUUAUGUCCUGGGCGACACACACGCUACAAUGGCCGGUACAACGGGCAGCCAAGCAGUAAUGCGGAGCCAAUCCCAUAAAGCCGGUCUCAGUACGGAUUGGGGGCUGCAACCCGCCCCCAUGAAGGUGGAGUUGCUAGUAACCGCUGGUCAGCAUACAGCGGUGAAUCUGUUCCCGGGGCUUGUACUCACCGC
rnacentral:rRNA from 1 species